rnacentral:rRNA from 1 species
GAUGAACGCUGGCGGCGUGCCUAAUACAUGCAAGUCGAGCGAACGGACGAGAAGCUUGCUUCUCUGAUGUUAGCGGCGGACGGGUGAGUAACACGUGGAUAACCUACCUAUAAGACUGGGAUAACUUCGGGAAACCGGAGCUAAUACCGGAUAAUAUUUUGAACCGCAUGGUUCAAAAGUAAAAGACGGUCUUGCUGUCACUUAUAGAUGGAUCCGCGCUGCAUUAGCUAGUUGGUAAGGUAACGGCUUACCAAGGCAACGAUGCAUAGCCGACCUGAGAGGGUGAUCGGCCACACUGGAACUGAGACACGGUCCAGACUCCUACGGGAGGCAGCAGUAGGGAAUCUUCCGCAAUGGGCGAAAGCCUGACGGAGCAACGCCGCGUGAGUGAUGAAGGUCUUCGGAUCGUAAAACUCUGUUAUUAGGGAAGAACAUAUGUGUAAGUAACUGUGCACAUCUUGACGGUACCUAAUCAGAAAGCCACGGCUAACUACGUGCCAGCAGCCGCGGUAAUACGUAGGUGGCAAGCGUUAUCCGGAAUUAUUGGGCGUAAAGCGCGCGUAGGCGGUUUUUUAAGUCUGAUGUGAAAGCCCACGGCUCAACCGUGGAGGGUCAUUGGAAACUGGAAAACUUGAGUGCAGAAGAGGAAAGUGGAAUUCCAUGUGUAGCGGUGAAAUGCGCAGGGAUAUGGAGGAACACCAGUGGCGAAGGCGACUUUCUGGUCUGUAACUGACGCUGAUGUGCGAAAGCGUGGGGAUCAAACAGGAUUAGAUACCCUGGUAGUCCACGCCGUAAACGAUGAGUGCUAAGUGUUAGGGGGUUUCCGCCCCUUAGUGCUGCAGCUAACGCAUUAAGCACUCCGCCUGGGAGUACGACCGCAAGGUUGAAACUCAAAGGAAUUGACGGGGACCCGCACAAGCGGUGGAGCAUGUGGUUUAAUUCGAAGCAACGCGAAGAACCUUACCAAAUCUUGACAUCCUUUGACAACUCUAGAGAUAGAGCCUUCCCCUUCGGGGGACAAAGUGACAGGUGGUGCAUGGUUGUCGUCAGCUCGUGUCGUGAGAUGUUGGGUUAAGUCCCGCAACGAGCGCAACCCUUAAGCUUAGUUGCCAUCAUUAAGUUGGGCACUCUAAGUUGACUGCCGGUGACAAACCGGGGGAAGGUGGGGAUGACGUCAAAUCAUCAUGCCCCUUAUGAUUUGGGCUACACACGUGCUACAAUGGACAAUACAAAGGGCAGCGAAACCGCGAGGCCAAGCAAAUCCCAUAAAGUUGUUCUCAGUUCGGAUUGUAGUCUGCAACUCGACUACAUGAAGCUGGAAUCGCUAGUAAUCGUAGAUCAGCAUGCUACGGUGAAUACGUUCCCGGGUCU